AAAGAUGAGUGUACUCAGGGAAAGCAGUAUACCAGUUACAGAACUGCUACAAGCGAAAUGAUGUGUGGGCACUCUGCCGAUUUGAUGGUAAGAUAUUCUUCACCAAGUGUUCAAAAACAAAAAAAGCAGAAAACAAAAAUGGAGUUUGAGUCAAUUCUGUGGUCAACAUACUAAAUAUACAUGAAAGUGGAUGAAGUACCUCUGUAACCUCAAGCACAAAACCCUGACCAAGUAAAUGGCAGGAGAGCAUCUUUCCAGCUAGGAAGACCAGAGAUGAUCAGGGAUCUCUCUCUCAUCUUGAAAGCAACGUAUUCUGAGGGACAUAAAAUUAAUCCCAUCUUCCUCCUCCUCAAAGAACAGAAUCAGCACAUCAAGGUUCUCUGAUGCUGCCAACAACUGAGGUUGCCAACGGAACUUCUGUGGAAUGGACUCCUUGCACACCAGCCUCACUCCUCUUUUGUACCCCUCCACAGUGUGUGAACAAUGACGUGCCUUUAAUGGAAUGGCCAUAUUGACCAUGCUCUGCAGCAUGGGUGACCACAAACCAGACACCUCCAGCAGAGCUGGGAGCACUCUCACUUUGCUACUUCAGAUGAGUACUCAGCUAAAAUAUGCAUAAAAAACUGAAACAAAAUGCUCGGGUCACUCCGAAAGUAAUGCCUCCUACUUAUUUACACUGAAACUGCAACAGAUACAAAGAACACAGUAAUACUUUUUGAUAGAGAAAAUUCUCUGCCACAAAACACUAUUGUUCAAAAUAAUCACCACCAUUAGCUACACAUUUUUGCCACAGAUGAACAAGAGCCUGCGAGCCGCACUCAUAAAAAUCAGCAGGGUUGUCCAGAACAUGGCUUCUCUUUCACAUCGCUGUCACCACUGCUGAGAUGCACCACUCACCGCCUCACUGAGCUCACACCCACUGUUUGGUCUCCAUAAACAUUCAGCAAGCAUUGAUUAGUGUCACUGAGUGCUGUUUUGUCCUCAUAGAGGAUUUCAAUUCCACACCUUUGCUUCAUCUGCACUUCCAUGUCAUACACCAUUUGCUGGACUGCUCCUCUGCUGUCAUCUGUCUCACAGCAACAAAGUGUAACAGAAUAUUGGUGGAAAGUCCAACCUCUAUAGCCAUAUCACCAACAUUCACCUCUAACAUCAUGAGCCAACAUAAUAAAAUAGGAGGCAUUACUUUUGAAGCAGCCCUUGUCCAUUUAUUUUAAAUGGUUUUUAUGUAAACUUACUGUAAGUUGGUAUUACCCAUACAGCACCUAGAAGACUAGCAAUGACUCAUGCAUCAUUUGCGCUUGAGAUCCAAGUAUCAUUACAAGUGAUGUGAAGAAACCAGCAUU
rnacentral:lncRNA from 7 species